CCUACGGGCGGCAGCAGUGGGGAAUAUUGCACAAUGGGGGAAACCCUGAUGCAGCGACGCCGCGUGAGUGAAGAAGUAAUUCGUUACGUAAAGCUCUAUCAGCAGGGAAGAAAAACUGACCUUACGGUCAGCAGACGGUACCUGAGUAAGAAGCCCCGGCUAACUACGGGCCAGCAGCCGCGGGAAUACGGAGGGGGCAGGCGUUUUCCGGAUUUACUGGGGGUAAAGGGGGCGGAGACGGUGCGCCAAGGCUGGAGUGAAAAGCGGCAGCUUAACGGCGGAACUGCUGUGGAAACUGGCGGACUAGAGUGCGGGAGAGGUAAGCGGAAUUCGUGGUGUAGCGGUGAAAUGCGUAGAUAUUAGGAAGAACACCGAUGGCGAAGGCGGCUUACUGGACCGUAACUGACGUUGAGGCUCGAAAGCGUGGGGAGCAAACAGGAUUAGAUACCCGAGUAGUC
rnacentral:rRNA from 1 species